CCUACGGGUGGCUGCAGCUAAGAAUCUUGCGCAAUGGGCGAAAGCCUGACGCAGCAACGCCGCGUGGGGGACGAAGGCCCUCGGGUCGUAAACCCCUUUUGCGAGGGAAGAAGUUCUGACGGUACCUCGCGAAUAAGCCACGGCUAACUACGUGCCAGCAGCCGCGGUAAUACGUAGGUGGCGAGCGUUGUCCGGAUUUAUUGGGCGUAAAGCGCCCGCAGGCGGCUUGGUAAGUUUCAGGUGAAAUCUCCCGGCUCAACUGGGAGGGUGCCUGGAAAACUAUCAGGCUUGAGGCAGGGAGAGGGAUGUGGAAUUCCCGGUGUAGUGGUGAAAUGCGUAGAUAUCGGGAGGAACACCAGUGGCGAAGGCGGCAUCCUGGCCCUGUCCUGACGCUCAGGGGCGAAAGCGUGGGGAGCAAACCGGAUUAGAUACCCUUGUAGUC
rnacentral:rRNA from 1 species